CUGCAACUGGGGAAGGAUCUCUUUCUAAAGAUCCCUCCCUAGUGGAUCUUUCCUCUGUGAACCUGGAAUCUUCUGAUACAGCUAUGCCUCUUAUAAACAUGAACAGCCUUUGGCUAGAUCAUCAGGAAGUUCUCUCUUUCUACACCAAAAGUAGAAUGUCAGCACAGAAUACGAAGUUACCUGGUCAACUCUGCAAGAUCUCAAAUUCUACAGCUACUUGAGUUGCACCAGACAUAUUUUCCAGGCUGAAUAUCUUGAAAUUCUUCCACCUUUGCUACCAAAGAGAAACUUGUGUAAAUUCUCACUUUGUCGUCACACCUGUUGGAAAUCACUGUUACAACUUAGGUGUGAAAAAAUGUGACUGAACUAUACGUAGUAAGGAAAGUACACACACCAAUCUCAAUUGUUACAGUAGAAAGAAUCUUUCCCAUAAAGAACAACGUGAUGAUUUUCCCACUGAACUUUCUGCCACGUAUCUGCAGAACUGCCACAGAUGUACAUGCACAUCCAACCUGAAAUCAGCCCUGAGAGUAGAUGGGUAUGUUUGAUGAAGAGGUCAAUUAAAACCACAGAAUCUUUCAGCACCCUGUGUCCCAGGUGUUGUAUGUAGCUAUGAAGUGUGGUGAGGAUGGCCCACCAGCCUUAUCACUCUACCUCAUAGGUUCUCAUAACCUAUAGGCAUUUAAAACACAUGAA